rnacentral:rRNA from 1 species
UACAGAGGGUGCGAGCGUUGUUCGGAAUUAUUGGGCGUAAAGGGCGCGUAGGCGGUGCCACAAGUCACCUGUGAAAUCCCCGGGCUUAACUCGGGGCCUGCAGGCGAAACUGUGGUGCUGGAGUAUGGGAGAGGUGCGUGGAAUUCCCGGUGUAGCGGUGAAAUGCGUAGAGAUCGGGAGGAACACCGGUGGCGAAGGCGGUCUUCUGGACGGUGACUGACGCUGAGGCGCGAAAGCGUGGGGAGCAAACGGG